rnacentral:misc_RNA from 1 species
AAUUCUCAACUCUCUUAUACUGUUUUGUAGAGGAGAGCUUGGAUUGUGGAGGCUUGCUGGCUGCUUGUUUGAAGUCAGCUCCUCUGAAAUGCAUUAGCGGAACCGUUUGCGAUCUGCCACAAGUGUGAUAAAUUAUCUACACUAGCGAGGGGAUUGCUCUCUGCGUUGUUCAGCUUCCAAUUGUCUCUACUUUGUGGGACUACUUUUUGAAU